UCAUGUCAUUUUUUCGCAAUACCAUCUGGUUUGUGAAGGGCAUGAAGGAGUACACAAAGGGUGGCUAUGCUUCAGCUUCAAAGAACUUCAGGGCAGGGGAUCUGGCGGUGGAUGUUACAGGGCGGAGUUUCAUGAUAACAGGGGCCAACAGUGGACUGGGCAAGGCAACAGCGAUGGCUUUGGCACAAAGAGGGGGCACAGUACACAUCGUGUGUAGAAACAAGGAAAGGGGGGAGGAGGCUAGAACGGAGAUCACAGAGACUACUGGCAAUCAGAAUGUGUUCUUACAUGAAUUGGACACUUCAAAACCAGCAGAUAUUUAUGCGUUCGUUAAAACUUUUGAAGCCUCGGGCAACGCACUGCAUGUGUUGAUCAACAAUGCAGGCUGCAUGAUCAACACACGCUCAGUAACCGAUGAUGGAUUGGAGAAGAACUUUGCUACUAACACUCUCGGUACCCAUGUUUUGACGACAGCACUAAUUCCAUUACUGUCAAAGGCCACAGACCCACGUGUGAUUAUAGUAUCAUCGGGUGGGAUGUUGACGAAGUCUUUAGACGUGGAAGACUUGCAGUUUGAACGCAUGCAGCCAUUUGAUGGCACGUCAGCUUAUGCGCAGAACAAACGUCAGCAGAUUGUGAUGACGGAGCAAUAUGCCAAGAAGUUCCCAGACAUUCAUUUCUCAUCCAUGCACCCGGGCUGGGCUGAUACGCCUGCCGUGCAAACCUCGAUGCCUGGUUUCUAUGAGAAGAUGAAAACGAGGCUACGUACAGUGGAGGAAGGUGCCGACACCAUCGUCUGGCUGGCCGCGUCACCAGCUGGCAAGACACACAAGAGUGGGCUGUUCUUUCAAGACCGACACCCUACCUCCACACAUUUGCCGCUGAGUUUCACUAAAUCCCGACCAGAACAAGACCAACAGUUGAUGGACAAGUUAGACGAAAUGGCUGCCAGGUUUCGACAAUGAAUAUUCAUAAUAUAAUUGUUUCAUGACAGCCGUAGUCGUACUUUAUUUAUAAUUUAUGUCAUGUGAGACAAUAAUUAAGUUUGUAUAAUUUACCUCAAACCAAUAUAUGUUUAUGCUCAUGUAUGUGUCAGUUCAGAAGUGUAACUGAAAUAUAGUUUGACGUGAUAGGUUUGAGAUCUCGGGCUAAGUGAAGUUCAUUAUUGUUCCUUUAAAUAGUUGAUGUGAUUGGUUUACGAUCUUUGGCUAAGUGAAGUAAGUUCAAGUACCUGUAAAUAGUUUAAUGUGAUUGGUUUAUGAUAUUUGGCGACGUUAAGUUAAUAAGUGUUCUUUCAAAUUAUUUUCGUGAUUCGUGAACAAUCUUUGACUAAGUGAAGUUCAUUACUCUUUCGUUAAAUAGUUUGAUGUGAUAGGUUUAUGAUCCUGGGUUAAGUAAAGUUCAUUACUGUUCCUUUAAAAAGUUUACGUGGUUGGUUUGCGGUCUUGCGCUAAGUGAAGUUCAUAGUCGACGUAAAGGUUUCACAAUCUAGGGCUUUGUGAGGUGCGUUUAGUUUUCCGUUUAAAUAUCGUUGUGAAAAAGCGAUCCUAGUAUUGCUAGUUAUUAGUGUGUUAUAUGCGAUCUGGUGCAAUAUAUUAACAUAAAUAAUCUACCGUAUAUUUUACGGCGUCUAUAGUAGACAAACAUAUGUAUUUAGAACUGUUUAAAUUAAUAUUGACCAACAUUUACAUGUUAUAAUAAAAUACAAGUUUCAGCUUAUGUGUUUUAAGAAAUAUAUAGUUGAACUUAUGUAUAGUUAUACAAAAAUAUGUUGGAACUAAUGCUUUGUAAUAAAAUAUAAAUGUGAA